UGUCCUGUGGUGUAAUGGUAGCACAUCAGAUUCUGGUUCUGCUUGUAUGGGUUCGAAUCCUAUCAGGACAAC
rnacentral:tRNA from 1 species